UAAUUCAGCUGAUAUAACGCACAGCAUUAACCAUAAGAAUGAUUAUAUAAUUUAACUAGAAGCCUCGUGAUAAUUUGGAAUGAAACAUGGUAAAUUCAAACUAUUCUCAACCAGUGAAUUGAAGUUUGUUACUACAUAAGCUCAUAUCCAUGUUGACAUACAUAUGAGACGGUUUGAAGUAACAUGUAAUGUGAAUGAAGAGCUCAGAACGAUGGUUACUAAUGGAAUGGAAAAUAAUUCAAAAGUAAAUCAAGAAUAUAUCAUAUACCAACGUAUGGAAAAAAUAAACGAGCGGCUCAUGAAAGAGAAACAAAGACAACAAGUAUAAGGACAACUUAGGACUACGCUGAGCGAGCUACAGCAGGAUGAUUUGUUCGUCAUGGAACUACUUGCUAAUGUUAAUGAGUCCGCGAAAUUACCGUAUCAUCUACAACAGAUGGUCUCCGAAGAAAAGUUUUUACACCUUCAGAUUCUACUAAUAAACGUAGGGCUUUUUAAAGUGGCCUAUCAAGUCUCCGAAUCUGGCUGAGAUCUCCGAGCAAGCCCACCUUCGCCCACUAUCCGGAGACAGGUCGACCAAACAUGUCGACGAUGUAACAUGCGCGUGUGGGUCAAAGGUUAGACUAAGUUGAAGACAUUCAUUUACAAAGAUUUAUAAAUCUGCCAGCGAGGGACUUUGAUGUUGAUAGUUUACCGUUGCGGAUUCCCCAUGAUGAUUCGAAGAACAGUAAGAAAUUGUGGGUCUGAGAAGUUGUCGCAAUUUCUACCACACAUGCAAGUUCUACUGAUAAACUUCGGGCCUUUAGACGUGGUAGAUCAAAUCUCGACGCUGCCUUGGAUUUCCGAUGAAAUCGACCUUCGUCCAGCACCCAGUGACAAUUCUACCAAUAUAAAGGCGCUUGUCCUGGUUAUAAAUCAAGCCAUCAAGGUCGGAAAGGAUGUGGACAGAAUUUGGGAGUGGCUGCCGAAAUACACCGUAGUUGAGGAGAACACAUGGGAUUGUCCGUUUUGCAUAGAGAAAGUCAGACAACUGAGAGCAUGUGACAAACUUUUAGAGCACGUGGAAGCCCAAAAUGUCGAAAAGAAGAGUCAUGUUGGAGGCGUGGCUGUGGAACAAAGCCAAACCCAAGCUGUCGAUUUCGACAUCAAGAUAUACCCGUCAAAUUCCCCCAAAUGUCUCAAAUUUGACAUUGCAUUGACGAUCAAGCACCUUGCCGUGUGUGACAUUAUGAAUGUAAACACCGCCAGUCGCACGCAGCUGAAAGCGAUGAAAAUCACUGAACACAGACAACUAUUGGGGGACCGGAAAUGCAAUUAAUAUUAUGACUUAUGAGAAAGGCCACCGGCGUAGCUCCAGAACAGCUCGUAUAUUGCUGCGCUUUCAAAAAAACAGUUCCACACCUUAACCCACUCGGAACAAUGCAUUAUCGAUUAUUCCUCGACGAAAGCCUUCUGCAAAGUUCCCGAGGCACCCAAAGAUCUUAAACACAAGUUAGAGAACCGGCGUCGACUGCGCGCUACAGCAUGUGAUGGCUGCCAGGAAGUGGAGAUAGUUGUGAAACUGGACGGUGUUGAGAGAAGUUUUAAAUUGAAAUAUUAUCAUGAUCCUUCAUUGUCGAAAUUCAACAACGGAAUGCAGCUGUUUAAUGAGGACCAGCAUUUUCUGACGGUAGAGGUACGUCUCGGUACAAAUACGGUCAAGGCAAAACUAAGAUUUCAAUGUCGAAUAAGCGCUGUAAACAGCCCUUACACAGAUUGAUAGAUAGAAUGUUUAUAGAAUACAAUGUCAACACGUAUCAAAUCUGCCUUCAAACUACAAACAAAUUUACUAAACCAUGCUGAUAAAUGUUUUUCUGAAGCUACUUCAUGUUACGGUGACAUCGCCAUUUAGUCAAAAGGAAAUGCGCGAGAUUCUUCAUUCAAAGACUCUUGAAACUAAUACAUAACAAGAUAACAAAUAUUCGUCACGGUCGCGUUUUUAUGACACAAAUAUUAUUCUUUAACAUACAUUUUACUUUUUUUAUGUAAUUUGAUUAGUCUCAACACAUGUUUUGAGUAGCUUUUACCUUAUGCUUUUGUACCGUGUCUAAUUGUUGCACAUUUUUUCCAUACAUAACAGACCUUGUGGCGCUGAUACUCGUUUUCUAACGCAGAUGCAAUUGGGGAGGGGGAUAAACUAUUCCGAUUAUAGCUAAAACAUACUACGUUUAUAUCAUAGGAGACAACCUGACACUUCUGGCACCUUCAGAUGUACAAAUCACUAUCGGAAUAGAAGAAUGCCGCGUUGUGGAAAUAUCAAAUGCAUUUAUGAGAUGCGCAGCACCAAGAAAACAACCAAAACCAGGAGUAUCCGGUGCAGAGGUUCCUGAAGUUAACGUCACCAUUGGAAACAUCAUGGAAACAUUGGGCUAUCUGAAGUAUUAGGUCGCUGUCAAACAAGUCGCACUUAUAGUAGGUGCAUCCGUGGGAGCUGCUGUACGAGAAAUUGUCAUAGUGAUCGUCGCUGUUUGCGUCGCAACUCGAAAAAAGAGAGCUAAACACUAAAACAAAAAGAAUGCUUGCCAACAAGAUGAAGAAGGAACUAAAGGAUUUGGAAUUAGAAGACAAAAUACGGGCACAGCUAGAGGAAGAUCAACCAAGAAUGAAAAUCGAACAUGAGAACGAUUCUUUGAAGUAGAUCCUCAAACCAUUAAUGUUCAUGCACGUGUACGUUUUAUGCAUUCUUCUAAUGUCCGCAGUUUAGCAUGAUAUAAUUGAUGUGAUUGAUGUAAUUUUGUUUGUGAAUGCCAAAGAUGGUGUGUUAUUGUAUGUGUUGUAUAUUAUUCCAGGUGAAAACUUUAUUUGAUGUUAUUAUAUUUCCCUGUAUUAUUUGAUGAUGCUUUGUUAUAUUUGCCAAAAUCCUUUAAAAUUCACGCGAUGCUAGAAUAGUGCGUAUUAUUGACACCCUUUUCCAAACCAUAUAUUACAAGGUUUCUUUUAACUUUAAACGUUUUAAUGCAUAUAAUCAUGUAACUUAUUUCAGCGUUCGAUAUAAUAUUCUUGUUGUUGACAUUCGAAUAAUUUUGACAUUCGAAGUGAAAAAAAUCGAUUGUUCUUACUAAAGAAUAUUAAGCAAAAUGUAAAACGAUGCGUUAUUGUAAAUAGAUAUAUUUGACGUGUAUGAAAUUGUAUUAUUCAAUAUAAUUUAUAUCAAUUGCAAGUGAACACUUAUUCAUGUGAUAUACCAUUUUUGCAAUCUAUACAAUACACAUGUAUUUUGAAUGAAAUAUUAUCUGAAACCAACGGAAAUCUUGUUUAAGCGAAACAAAUACGUACAUAUGUAACGUGACUUCAUUUUAGAGACACAAUGUCGUGUUUCUUAUGCGGGCAUAAUAUCUGUGAAAUAUAUAUGUCGGCACAGACAUUAUUUGAACCGUUUUAAUUCAAAGGGUACAUUGUUAUACUAAACAACACAUUAUAACAUUGCUACAAUGUUAUAAAGUUACAUGCUGUUUACACAUGAAAUCUUCUCAAAUUUGUGUCUAUACAAGCCUUAUUGGAACAUAAUUUGUAUACACCGUGGUAGGACAAGUACUGAAUGUUUGAUUCCGAAAUGCGAACAAGGCCUUCCGUUCUUGUAGCACAUGGAGUAAAUAACACGACGAUUCCAUAAAACAUAAAAACGCUUGUUCAAAUAGACUCACACACAGACGUCGUACUACAUAAUAACAACAGAUGAGCACAUAAUGUCUAAUUUCCAGUGCAUAAAUCUCAUUAUACGUGUAACAACAUCUUAUUUAUACAGAACCUUUUCGGAAUAAUAAUAUAGUCAUACUUUCAGAGAAAUGUCAUAUUUUAAUAAAAAAAAUAUACAUGGGGGCCCAUAUAACGAAAUGUCAUUUUUUCCCAUUACGUCGCCGAAAAUAAGGGUAAUAGAGACUUGGUUGACUAAACUUGUUUAUUGUUUAAUUUUAAAUUUAUCCCCACUUUAAUAGGUAAGUAAAUACUACUGCAUGUGAUGUAGCGAUAUUAAAAUGGCUACUAUAUACAUGUUUUGUGAAUAUCUUGUUGUGGGGAACCAAUUGGGAUCGUGUUUGAGCAAAAAAAAAUACGUAAAAUUAACGUGAAUUCAUUUUAAGAGAUACAUAAUCUCGUGUUACUUAUGCGACCAUAGUAUGUGUGAAAAAUAUAUAAGAGACACAUUGUCCUGAACAUAUUCAUUGCACGACGACGAAGAAAAGAAGAGUUCUAAAAUAGCGUAUUUUUUUAACUUUUUUAUUAUUUUAGAACUUUUCUUCGUCGUCGUGGUUGACAGUCCUUUUAACAUGUUGUGUGCAAUGCACAUAAUCACAAAUAGUAUACAUUAAACAGCUUAUUUUACGCAUACCACAAUGUCAAUGUCGAACACUUUAUUUGAUGAUAUUGUACUCUGUAUUCUUUGAUGAUGUAUUUUUAUAUUUGCCAAAAUCCUAUAAAAUUCAUGCGAUGCUAGAAUAGUGCGUAUUAUUGACACCCUUUCCCAAACCAUAUAUUGCAAUGUUUAUUUUAACUUUAAACAUUUUCAUGCGUAUAACCAUGUUAUUUAUUUCAGUAUUCGAUAGUAUGUUCUUGCUACUGACAUUCGAAUAAUGUUGACAAUAGACAUUUAGAUUUCAGAAAUGAAUGAUGUUGACGAAGGAGGAAAGCAAACUUUGAAAAUCAAAAUCCUUUGAUAAGAAAAGUAUCAUAAAGUAUGACGGACAUAUACCGGUAACCAUAAUAGUAUUUUCUCUAUGAAUUCAAACCUUUUCUAAAGUUUCAAUGUAAAUUUCUUAUAAAAUGUUCAUUAUCUAGUACACAUUUUUACUUUCACCGUCAUCAACACAGAUAUUUAC